UCCAGACUCCUACGGGAGGCAGCAGUGGGGAAUAUUGCACAAUGGGGGGAACCCUGAUGCAGCGACGCCGCGUGAGCGAUGAAGUAUUUCGGUAUGUAAAGCUCUAUCAGCAGGGAAGAAAAUGACGGUACCUGACUAAGAAGCCCCGGCUAACUACGUGCCAGCAGCCGCGGUAAUACGUAGGGGGCAAGCGUUAUCCGGAUUUACUGGGUGUAAAGGGAGCGUAGACGGCCAGACAAGUCUGAAGUGAAAAUCCAGCGCUUAACGUUGGAAGUGCUUUGGAAACUGCCGGGCUAGAGUGCAGGAGGGGCAGGCGGAAUUCCUGGUGUAGCAGUGAAAUGCGUAGAUAUCAGGAGGAACACCGGCGGCGAAGGCGGCCUGCUGGACCGUAACUGACGUUGAGGCUCGAAAGCGUGGGGAGCAAACAGGAUUAGAUACCCGCGUAAC
rnacentral:rRNA from 1 species